rnacentral:rRNA from 1 species
GACGAACGCUGGCGGCGUGCUUAACACAUGCAAGUCGAACGAGACGAUUGAAAGCUUGCUUUUGAAAGUCGAGUGGCAAACGGGUGAGUAACGCGUAGGCAACCUGCCUCUAGGAUGGGGACAACAGUCCGAAAGGACUGCUAAUACCGAAUGUUGUAGAUAUUCCGCAUGGAGUACCUAUUAAAGAUGGCCUCUACUUGUAAGCUAUCACCUAGAGAUGGGCCUGCGUCUGAUUAGCUGGUUGGUGGGGCAACGGCCUACCAAGGCGACGAUCAGUAGCCGGUCUGAGAGGAUGAACGGCCACAUUGGAACUGAGACACGGUCCAGACUCCUACGGGAGGCAGCAGUGGGGAAUCUUCCGCAAUGGGCGAAAGCCUGACGGAGCAACGCCGCGUGAGUGAAGAA